rnacentral:rRNA from 1 species
AGUGAACGCUGGAGGCGUGCUUAACACAUGCAAGUCGAACGAGGGGCAACCCUAGUGGCAAACGGGUGAGUAAUGCAUGGGUAUCUACCUAGUAGUGGGGGACAACAGUUGGAAACGACUGCUAAUACCGCAUAUUACCAUUUAUGGGAAAGGCGCAAGUCGCUAUUAGAUGAGCCCAUGUCUGAUUAGCUAGUUGGUGAGGUAAAUGCUCACCAAGGCGAAGAUCAGUAGCUGGUCUGAGAGGACGAUCGGCCACACUGGGACUGAGACACGGCCCAGACUUCUACGGGAGGCAGCAGUGGGGAAUAUUGGACAAUGGACGAAAGUCUGAUCCAGCAACGCCUCGUGAGGGAUGAAGGCCUUAGGGUCGUAAACCUCUUUUGACAGGGAAGAUAAUGACGGUACCUGUAGAAUAAGCAUCGGCUAACUUCGUGCCAGCCGCCGCGGUAAU